UACAGAGGUCUCAACCGUUGUUCGGAUUCAUUGGGCGUAAAGGGUGCGUAGGCGGUCGCGUAAGUCGGAUGUGAAAUCUCAGGGCUCAACCCUGAAACUGCAUUCGAUACUGCGUGGCUAGGGUACUGGAGAGGAGACUGGAAUUUACGGUGUAGCAGUGAAAUGCGUAGAUAUCGUAAGGAAGACCAGUGGCGAAGGCGAGUCUCUGGACAGUUACCGACGCUGAGGCACGAAGGCCAGGGGAGCAAACGGG
rnacentral:rRNA from 1 species